GACGAACGCUUGCGGCGUGCUUAACACAUGCAAGUCGAACGGUAAGGCUCCAGCUUGCUGGGGUACACGAGUGGCGAACGGGUGAGUAACACGUGGGUGACCUGCCCUGCACUUCGGGAUAAGCCUGGGAAACUGGGUCUAAUACCGGAUAGGACCGCACCGUGAGGGUGUGGUGGAAAGUUUUUUCGGUGUGGGAUGGGCCCGCGGCCUAUCAGCUUGUUGGUGGGGUAAUGGCCUACCAAGGCGGCGACGGGUAGCCGGCCUGAGAGGGUGGACGGCCACAUUGGGACUGAGACACGGCCCAGACUCCUACGGGAGGCAACAGUGGGGAAUAUUGCACAAUGGGCGGAAGCCUGAUGCAGCGACGCCGCGUGGGGGAUGACGGCCUUCGGGUUGUAAACUCCUUUCACCAUCGACGAAGGGUUUCUGACGGUAGAUGGAGAAGAAGCACCGGCUAACUACGUGCCAGCAGCCGCGGUAAUACGUAGGGUGCGAGCGUUGUCCGGAAUUACUGGGCGUAAAGAGCUCGUAGGUGGUUUGUCGCGUCGUCUGUGAAAUUCCGGGGCUUAACUCCGGGCGUGCAGGCGAUACGGGCAUAACUUGAGUACUGUAGGGGAGACUGGAAUUCCUGGUGUAGCGGUGAAAUGCGCAGAUAUCAGGAGGAACACCGGUGGCGAAGGCGGGUCUCUGGGCAGUAACUGACGCUGAGGAGCGAAAGCAUGGGGAGCGAACAGGAUUAGAUACCCUGGUAGUCCAUGCCGUAAACGGUGGGCGCUAGGUGUGGGUUUCCUUCCACGGGAUCCGUGCCGUAGCUAACGCAUUAAGCGCCCCGCCUGGGGAGUACGGCCGCAAGGCUAAAACUCAAAGGAAUUGACGGGGGCCCGCACAAGCGGCGGAGCAUGUGGAUUAAUUCGAUGCAACGCGAAGAACCUUACCUGGGCUUGACAUAUACAGGAUCGCGCCAGAGAUGGUGUUUCCCUUGUGGCUUGUAUACAGGUGGUGCAUGGUUGUCGUCAGCUCGUGUCGUGAGAUGUUGGGUUAAGUCCCGCAACGAGCGCAACCCUUGUCUUAUGUUGCCAGCACGUUGUGGUGGGGACUCGUAAGAAACUGCCGGGGUUAACUCGGAGGAAGGUGGGGAUGACGUCAAAUCAUCAUGCCCCUUAUGUCCAGGGCUUCACACAUGCUACAAUGGUCGGUACAGUGGGUUGCCAGUCCGUGAGGGCGAGCUAAUCCCGCAAAGCCGGUCUCAGUUCGGAUCGGGGUCUGCAACUCGACCCCGUGAAGUCGGAGUCGCUAGUAAUCGCAGAUCAGCAACGCUGCGGUGAAUACGUUCCCGGGCCU
rnacentral:rRNA from 1 species